rnacentral:rRNA from 1 species
AAAUUGAAGAGUUUGAUCAUGGCUCAGAUUGAACGCUGGCGGCAGGCCUAACACAUGCAAGUCGAACGGUAACAGGAAGCAGCUUGCUGCUUUGCUGACGAGUGGCGGACGGGUGAGUAAUGUCUGGGAAACUGCCUGAUGGAGGGGGAUAACUACUGGAAACGGUGGCUAAUACCGCAUAACGUCGCAAGACCAAAGAGGGGGAUCUUCGGGCCUCUUGCCAUCAGAUGUGCCCAGAUGGGAUUAGCUUGUUGGUGAGGUAACGGCUCACCAAGGCGACGAUCCCUAGCUGGUCUGAGAGGAUGACCAGCCACACUGGAACUGAGACACGGUCCAGACUCCUACGGGAGGCAGCAGUGGGGAAUAUUGCACAAUGGGCGCAAGCCUGAUGCAGCCAUGCCGCGUGUAUGAAGAAGGCCUUCGGGUUGUAAAGUACUUUCAGCGGGGAGGAAGGUGUUGUGGUUAAUAACCGCAGCAAUUGACGUUACCCGCAGAAGAAGCACCGGCUAACUCCGUGCCAGCAGCCGCGGUAAUACGGAGGGUGCAAGCGUUAAUCGGAAUUACUGGGCGUAAAGCGCACGCAGGCGGUCUGUCAAGUCGGAUGUGAAAUCCCCGGGCUCAACCUGGGAACUGCAUUCGAAACUGGCAGGCUUGAGUCUUGUAGAGGGGGGUAGAAUUCCAGGUGUAGCGGUGAAAUGCGUAGAGAUCUGGAGGAAUACCGGUGGCGAAGGCGGCCCCCUGGACAAAGACUGACGCUCAGGUGCGAAAGCGUGGGGAGCAAACAGGAUUAGAUACCCUGGUAGUCCACGCCGUAAACGAUGUCUACUUGGAGGUUGUGCCCUUGAGGCGUGGCUUCCGGAGCUAACGCGUUAAGUAGACCGCCUGGGGAGUACGGCCGCAAGGUUAAAACUCAAAUGAAUUGACGGGGGCCCGCACAAGCGGUGGAGCAUGUGGUUUAAUUCGAUGCAACGCGAAGAACCUUACCUGGUCUUGACAUCCACGGAAGUUUUCAGAGAUGAGAAUGUGCCUUCGGGAACCGUGAGACAGGUGCUGCAUGGCUGUCGUCAGCUCGUGUUGUGAAAUGUUGGGUUAAGUCCCGCAACGAGCGCAACCC